CCUACGGGGUGCAGCAGUGGGGAAUAUUGGACAAUGGGCGAAAGCCUGAUCCAGCCAUGCCGCGUGUGUGAAGAAGGCCUUCGGGUUGUAAAGCACUUUCAGUGGGGAAGAAAGCCUUGGGGCCAAUACCCUCGAGGAAGGACAUCACCCACAGAAGAAGCACCGGCUAACUCCGUGCCAGCAGCCGCGGUAAUACGGAGGGUGCGAGCGUUAAUCGGAAUUACUGGGCGUAAAGCGCGCGUAGGCGGUCUGAUAAGCCGGUUGUGAAAGCCCCGGGCUCAACCUGGGAACGGCAUCCGGAACUGUCAGGCUAGAGUGCAGGAGAGGAAGGUAGAAUUCCCGGUGUAGCGGUGAAAUGCGUAGAGAUCGGGAGGAAUACCAGUGGCGAAGGCGGCCUUCUGGACUGACACUGACGCUGAGGUGCGAAAGCGUGGGUAGCAAACAGGAUUAGAUACCCUAGUAGUC
rnacentral:rRNA from 1 species